CCACCCAGCUAUCAACAUACCACCCAGCUAUCAGCAUACCACCCAGCUAUCAGCAUACCACCCAGCUAUCAGCAUACCACCCAGCUAUCAACAUACCACCCAGCUAUCAGCAUACCACCCAGCUAUCAGCAUACCACCCAGCUAUCAACAUACCACCCAGCUAUCAGCAUACCACCCAGCUAUCAGCAUACCACCCAGUUAUCAGCAUACCACCCAGCUAUCAGCAUACCACCCAGCUAUCAACAUACCACCCAGCUAUCAGCAUACCACCCAGCUAUCAGCAUACCACCCAGCUAUCAACAUACCACCCAGCUAUCAGCAUACCACCCAGCUAUCAGCAUACCACCCAGCUAUCAGCAUACCACCCAGCUAUCAACAUACCACCCAGCUAUCAGCAUACCACCCAGCUAUCAGCAUACCACCCAGCUAUCAACAUACCACCCAGCUAUCAACAUACCACCCAGCUAUCAGCAUACCACCCAGCUAUCAGCAUACCACCCAGCUAUCAGCAUACCACCCAGCUAUCAACAUACCACCCAGCUAUCAGCAUACCACCCAGCUAUCAGCAUACCACCCAGCUAUCAGCAUACCACCCAGCUAUCAGCAUACCACCCUGUUAUCAGCAUACCACCCAGCUAUCAGCAUACCACCCUGUAUCCCACUGCUGGCUGGCUUCUGAAGCUAAGCAGGGUUGAUCCUGGUCUGUCCCUGGAUGGGAGGCCAGAUGUUGGGGGAAGUGGUAUUGGGAGGGCUAGUAGAGGGCAUUCUUCUCUCUGGUCUUAGAAAAUCCCAGGCCAGUGAAGGGGAUGCUGCCCUGCAUAGGGUAUUGUCUUUCAGAUGGGACGUUAAACAGAUCUCCUGCCACUAUGGUCAUUAAAAAUCCCAUGACAGUUAUUGUAAGAGAAGGGGUGUUAACCCUGGUGUCAUGGCUAAGUUCCCAACCUGGCCCCAUUCCAUUAUGGCCACCUAAUCAUCCCCCUCAUUCCUAAUUGGUGUAUAUCACUCCUCACCUCU
rnacentral:lncRNA from 1 species